ACAGGACGCGUUAGAAAUAAAUAAAUGUGGGACUCCUGGACAGUUUCAAAAUAACAAAACCAACUCUCCAUUUAUUUGGUAAAUAGAUAAUCAUGCCAGUGGAUCAUAUGCAAAUAAAUCUUAAGCCCAAAAGACACUUUAAUACUCUGGUUACUCUUUAAGUAAAUCCAUGUGAGAAUUUUAGUGCCUAAAGUGAAAAUGGCAAGUUCUGGGCUUCCUGCCAAUUUCAUUUGGGGUGUGAAAUUUCUGACUUACAAGCUGAAAUUCUUGGAAGCUUAGAAGCAAAUUUCUUUCUUCUUUCUUUUGUAAUUGAGAAUGGUUCUCCCACCCACCAAACGACCUACUUCCCUUUACCUAGCAGCUUUGGAGGAGCAGGUGUGAGCCGGGUGAGAAGGACCUUCUGGGAGGCAGGACCUCGGCCCACCUGCAGCCCACAGCCUCUCCUCGCGGCCAGCUGCUCCUUGGUGCACAGCAUUCCCCAGGCUGGGGAAUGUCAUGGCACAGAGUAAGGCAGGAAGCCAGUGCCACCAAAUCCCCAUCCCAGGUUAUUUGAGGUUAAGGUAGAAAUGACAAAUGACUGCUUCCUCACUCCCCUCCCCAGCUUCUCUGGAGACUCCUUCCUUCAGGGAUGCCGCAUUGCUCCUUCCUCCAGAAGCUUCACGACCUCCCUCAAGCUUGCGGCCUAUGCAGCCUCCUAAUGUCACUUUUGUGAUUUCUCACUUCGGGGUAUUUUUACCCAUGGGUGUGAGGAACAAGGAAGCAACGUGUCGUGGAAGGACGGCGAUCGCCCAUCGCUCCUCUAUCAAAUGAGAGCACAGGAGGAGCAGAAGACACUUCCCUAGGGGCACGCAGCUCCUCCCUCUGCUUGGAGAGCUUGGUCUGCAUCCCCUGAAAUUUCGAAGUGCAGGAACUUGCACCCUGUUCUCCUCUGAGGAAGCUGAAGAGACCGUGGAUGAGCCUGACUCCUGCACAGGAAAUCUCACAGACACGAGAAGCGCUGACACACUGCUGGGGCGUGGGCUGCGCUGCUGUGCCAUGCCAAGCGCAGGCCGGGCAGGGUAGAGGGACAUUCCGCGAAGCAGAAGCUUGUGAAAUGAGGUGUUUUACCACCUCCUCUCCUGCCUCCAGACUGACCCAGGUUGGUGCCGGGAGAAGACUGAUGCUUUAACAAGAAGCCGAGUCAGACAUCUUGAAUAACAGCUUGGGCUGGACAUUAAAUGUUUGAAAUUGAGUCUAUACCUCCCACCGUAUGUCACCAUGGGGAUGCACAUUUUCCAAGAAUAGAAAGAAAGUUUCUGGGAUCUGCCAGAAUCUGCAUCCAGGAUUGAAGGAAGAAAAGCUCCACACAUCAAGUUUAAUGGGGUAAUGAGAGGCAAAAUACAGUGUGCUUGUUUCA